CUCUGCAAGCACCUUUUUAAAAAAUUGCCUGAGAAACUUCACAGAAUUCAACAUUCUUAGUGUCUUCUGCUCUGUUUUAUAAGGAUCUUGAAUUAAAAUGGAAGCCUUUAGGGGAAGGGCACUGGCCCUUUCCUUUACUUCUACUCUUGGUUCCUUUGGCCACUUCCAGCAGUUACCAGUGGAUGGUUCAGUUUUCCUUUUGCUGUUCCUGGGGAAUCUCCUCUCAUCUUGUUCCCCCAGGGAGAUGGUUACAAAAUGGGCCACCAGGAACUCCCCACAGAAAAUACACUGAAUAAGCCCUGAUGCCCAGCACCUGAUCCAAAGCCCAGGGUUAGGGUUCCGAAGCCAUGGGAAGACUGAAACGGUGCGUUCCUGUCCACACCAGUAUAGAUACCACUGGUGAGGACACCAUUCCGGGAACAUCUCUAGCAGCUGUCCUCCUCCGAGCAGCGGUCUCCCUGCGUGUACUUUUCACUGGUGAUUAAUGGACGGAAGGUCAAGUCCUCACUGUGUUAGGUCAGGCACAAAGCAGAGGACAAGCUAAAAAGCUGGCUUGGGCUCAGCUUACGCUUCACGCUCAGCGCUGCAGAAGGCAACAAAGAGGAGCCGGGACCAAGCGCCCGAGUCGGCAGCUUUGUCCUGCUCGGGCUCUGCCGCCGUCUCCCCCACAGCGACUGCUGUUUCGGCACCGGCAGUAUUGCGAGGAGGAGGAGGAGGAGGAGGAAAGCAAGAGCGGGUGAGGAGGAGGUGGCACCGUCAGCGCUGGGAUGGCGAGAGAGGAGGACACUGCCAGUCAUCCCCAGAACAGAGGAAUGUAUCGUUCUGAUGGCAAUUUUUGGAAGAUUUCAUAGCAUUCCUGGAUGAACAGAGUGAGAGACAGACAGACUGCAAGACAGCUCCGUAGUUAGGACACUGACCUGGGAUGUAGAGGACUGAGGUAAGUGGUAACUACUGACCUGCUGGCCAUUCUGGGACAUCUAUGGGUUUUGUUUUGUUUUGUUUGCACAAAAUUUCAAUAGGUCUUAGUUUUGUCCUGAUGUGGAGCAAAACAAAUUACAAAACAAAAUUCUUGUUUUCCAGCCAACCCUAGAAGUACUUCCAGUUGGCAAACGUUUUUAUGGUGUUACCCAUUUCCAAAGACUCUUAAAUCCCCAGGAUACGCUAUUUCUGUCCUCCUAUGAACCAUGCCAUGCAAACAUCUUAACUUGGGAGCACAUUUGCCUCACAAUAGCCUCAAAGUGUGUUAUCGUCCACUUGUGUCUGCUGCUCCUGAUGCAAAUCUGCCCAUCCAGGUCUCAUCAAGACAUGAAGAUAAAAAUGUUCUGAAAUGGAGUAUAUUCAGGUGAGCGAUAAUUUCUAUGAAUCUCCUCACCCUAAAAAUGUUAUAUUGAACUGGGGACAGAAGAUUGCUGGGGAAAAGGAAAAAAAAUGUUGAGAAGAGAACUGUCAUAGAAAAUAGGAAGCCUGGAGGGGGUAAGGUUUCAAUUCAUCAUCUUCAAUUUCAGGCAAACUUGUGCUGCUCAAGAAUUGUGUCCUAUGUUCACUCCUCUGUGAAAUAACUGAGAGGAUAGGAUUAUCCUGGUUAGGGAUAGGACUUCUGAAGUCAGAAGUGCAUUUGCAUGCAUUUACAAGUUUUCCUUCAG